GCCAUUAGUACGGGUUAAGGGGGGGAUACGUUUCGGAAACGGACGCUAAUACCGCAUACGUCCUACGGGAGAAAGCAGGGGACCUUCGGGCCUUGCGCUAUCAGAUGAGCCUAGGUCGGAUUAGCUAGUUGGUGAGGUAAUGGCUCACCAAGGCUACGAUCCGUAACUGGUCUGAGAGGAUGAUCAGUCACACUGGAACUGAGACACGGUCCAGACUCCUACGGGAGGCAGCAGUGGGGAAUAUUGGACAAUGGGCGAAAGCCUGAUCCAGCCAUGCCGCGUGUGUGAAGAAGGUCUUCGGAUUGUAAAGCACUUUAAGUUGGGAGGAAGGGCAUUAACCUAAUACGUUAGUGUUUUGACGUUACCGACAGAAUAAGCACCGGCUAACUCUGUGCCAGCAGCCGCGGUAAUACAGAGGGUGCAAGCGUUAAUCGGAAUUACUGGGCGUAAAGCGCGCGUAGGUGGUUUGUUAAGUUGAAUGUGAAAUCCCCGGGCUCAACCUGGGAACUGCAUCCAAAACUGGCAAGCUAGAGUAUGGUAGAGGGUAGUGGAAUUUCCUGUGUAGCGGUGAAAUGCGUAGAUAUAGGAAGGAACACCAGUGGCGAAGGCGACUACCUGGACUGAUACUGACACUGAGGUGCGAAAGCGUGGGGAGCAAACAGGAUUAGAUACCCUGGUAGUCCACGCCGUAAAACGAUGUCAACUAGCCGUUGGGAGUCUUGAACUCUUAGUGGCGCAGCUAAACGCAUUUAAGUUGACCGCCUGGGGAGUACGGCCGCAAGGUUAAAACUCAAAUGAAUUUGAACGGGGGGCCCGCACAAGCGGUGGGAGCAUGUGGUUUAAUUCGAGGGCAACGCCGAAGAAACCUUACCCAGCCUUUGAACUUCCAAUGAACUUUUCUAGAAGAAUAGAAUCGGUGCCCUUCCGGAAACAUUGAAAACGGGUGCCUGCAAUGGCUUGUCGAUCAGCUCCUGGUCCUGGAAGAAUGUUGGGGUUAUAAGUCCCGGUAACGAGCGACAACCCCUGGUUCCCUUAAGUUUACCAAGCACGUAAUGGAUGGGUCACUCUAAGAAACUGGCCGGUGGAACAAACCGGGAGAGAAAGGGUGGAUGAU
rnacentral:rRNA from 1 species